rnacentral:rRNA from 1 species
UACGUAGGUGGCAAGCGUUGUCCGGAUUUAUUGGGUUUAAAGGGUGCGUAGGCGGUUCCAUAAGUCAGUGGUGAAAUACGGCAGCUCAACUGUCGAGGUGCCAUUGAUACUGCGGAACUUGAGUGUUGAUGAGGCAGGCGAAAUUGACGGUGUAGCGGUGAAAUGCUUAGAUAUCGUCAAGAACACCGAUAGCGAAGGCAGCUUGCCAAGCAACAACUGACGCUCAGGCACGAAAGUGCGGGGAUCAAACAGG